rnacentral:lncRNA from 1 species
CAUGGUGCUGCUGGCUGGGACCCGGCCGCAGGGUGGCUGGGAGCGCUGCAUGACCCCGCCACCGCCGUCCCCACUCCUAGGCGCACAGGUCGAGGAGGACCGCGCUGACUACAAAGAGUUCCAGGGCCCCACACCUGCAGCAUAGCCUGGGACGACUCUGUACCCUUUCCAGGACGAGGAGGAGCACGGCGUCGAGGGCUUGGAGAGCGUCCCGGAGGAGGGCGUCCAGGAGGCAUGGGGCUGCUGCGGACGCUGGUGCGGCGAGGGGUGAGCGUUGAGAAGGCGCAGGAGACUGACCACAAUGGCUGGACCAGCCUUAAUGUCGCCUGCUACCACGGCUUUGUGGAUAUACCGUGGUGGCCUUAGCUGAGUAACCCCACACUGACGUCAACUGGCAGGACAGGGAGGGGAACGCAGCCCUAAAUACAGCUGCACAGGCUGGCCCAGUCAGGGCACGCUAUCAUCACCAACUACUUGUUGAACUACGUUCAGGGUCUUGAUCUUGAAGGAGGGACGCGUUCGGGUUGAAAGCCGCCAUGCAGGGUCGAACGGAUCGCAUCGGAGCCCUGAGCUAGCAGGGGCGGGUGUCCACGCGAGGGCCCCCGCCGUGGGAUGUCGCCAGAGGAGUGGCCACUUAUACGUCCGCCUCAUGCAGAGGCUCCUGGAGCGCCCCUGCCGGGAGCUGUUGGGGAAAAAGUACCAGCUUGAGCUGCCGCCGCUCCCCGAGAGGCCGCAAAAGCCCGAGGGCUCCAAGAACUGCCUGCAGAGGCUCAGGGACUGCGAGCUGUCCGCGCUGACGCCGCGCUCCAUGCGGGGCCCAGAGGACCGGGGCGCCCUGGACCACAUGGUCAGGAUGACCACGAGCCUCUAACAGCCCCGCCGGGGCCCUCGCGUGCCAGACUAUGUGCCCCGAGAGCACCUUGUGCUGGGGGAAGAGGCGGCUGGCGGUGCAGGAAAUCCUGGCGGCGCAGGAAAUUCCGGCGGCGCGGCGAGGGGUGGGGGGAGGCAGGCGCAGGAGGCGGGCGAAGAGGAGGGCGCAGAGUAGCAUAAGCCGCUCGGCCUAGCGGCCGCUGGCUCCACAAAGGCCUCCCCAAGAGCCGGCCUCCCACCUGCCCGGCUGCCGGGGUCCUGGGGCUCCGCCGCCCCCGCCCCGCGGACGGCCAGCCUCCUGCCCCUGCAGUGCCUGCAGCAGAGCAGCUUGGGGCCCAGCGUGGUGGUGCCCAGGUCCGCCUCAGCAAGGUGCCCGCGCCCACCUUCCAACCCAAAAGGCCGGCGCGGAAGGGCAGCAUAAAGGCAGCGGCCACCUGCGGAUACCCAAGUGGCCUUACAAGGUGGCCAAGGAGGAGAAACGGGAGGCGGAGGAGGCCGAGAAGAGGCGCCAGGCCAAGGUGCAGGAGAAGCGCCCGCCGCCCUGGAAGAAGAGGACG